GCUUAUCACCAUUCCAGAUUGAAUAUACCCGAUCUCGUCUGAUCUCGGAAGUCAAGCAAUCUCGGGCUUGGUUAGUACUUGGAUGGGU
rnacentral:rRNA from 1 species